GACGAACGCUGGCGGCGUGCUUAACACAUGCGAGUCGAACGGAAAGGCCCUGCUUUUGUGGGGUGCUCGAGUGGCGAACGGGUGAGUAACACGUGAGUAACCUGCCCUUGACUUUGGGAUAACUUCAGGAAACUGGGGCUAAUACCUGAUAGGAGCUCCUGCUGCAUGGUGGGGGCUGGAAAGUUUCGGCGGUUGGGGUUGGACUCGCGGCUUAUCAGCUUGUUGGUGGGGUAGUGGCUUACCAAGGCUUUGACGGGUAGCCGGCCUGAGAGGGUGACCGGCCACAUUGGGACUGAGAUACGGCCCAGACUCCUACGGGAGGCAGCAGUGGGGAAUAUUGCACAAUGGGCGGAAGCCUGAUGCAGCAACGCCGCGUGCGGGAUGACGGCCUUCGGGUUGUAAACCGCUUUCGCCUGUGACGAAGCGUGAGUGACGGUAAUGGGUAAAGAAGCACCGGCUAACUACGUG
rnacentral:rRNA from 1 species